UAUAAAGGAAACUCCAGCUUGGGCUCAUUGCUCAGGAUUUGGGAAUUCUACCCCUCUGAGCCCGCGCCCGUAAUGAAGGAUCAUGCUCUGCCAUCUCCCCCGCGUGUGAGUUAUUUUCUGCAACAAAGUUAUAUGAAACUUAUGAUUUUCAAAAGUGAAGAAUUGUAUUGUUAGCUGAAGCCCCAGCAGAUGAGAGAACUGACAGGACACACUGGUGGCAUCUCUGCUCAUGCUCAUAAAGAGGAAGGUUGUGUUCUGACCGAGAGUCUCCUAGAACAAAUGUGCAGCAGCAUCCACGUGCUGGGGAUUUGAGAACAUCUUAGCAAUGAUGCUUCCAUCGAUCCAUCUGACCGUUUGGAUCCACCUGGACUUUGGGAAGCCAGAAAACCUGUAUGGACAGUCCGUGACCAUCCAUUAUCUUCCCGUGUCUUCCUGAAGCUUUCCGCUUCCAGUUCUGGCUCUGUCUUUCAUUUGGUGACUUUGAACAACGCACUUGACUCUGAAUGCCUGAAAUGUUGUGUGUUUUCUGAUCGAUUGUAUUCUUAGCUAGAGAAAGUGUCUUCAACUUUGCAUGAAUUUGCUGAGGGAAAAAACUAACCACACAUUUUUGCUGAGUGGCUGCAUCAUGAUGAAUCAAUUAGAGCCCAUUAAAAAAGUUUUCCGGAAGCUGGGUAAACCUGCCCUGGAGAAGAUCAGAUCUGGAUGGAAACGAGGUUGCAGGUGGAUUCGGGCUGCAGCUCCCAGUGGCUCACGAUAAAAAAGAGCCACCCUGAGGCUGCGGAUGGCUUUGGCUCUGCUGGAGGGAGCUGCAGGAGCAAGGGGGUUCUGAGACAGGGGCGGGCUGGCUGGGGCCACAGGGCCUCUGCUGAGACCUGCGCACCAGCAGAGGAGCUGUAUGCGUGACAGGGAUCUGGAAAGUGGCCCAGCCUUGCUGGGGUUGGGGGUGCUAAGAAGAUAUUUCCAAGGUGUGUUUUCCCUAGUUUUUCUCUCAUGCUUUUGAGCUAAGGAAAACUGAGUGGUCUCAAGUUCAUUGCCCUGGCCCCUCUCUUUAGCUUCUAAUUUUGCCACCUCCUUCCCUCCUCUCUCCCUCCCUCUCUCCCUUCCUA